GUGUUCAUACAUAUCCAAUAGUUUUUUCAACUGUAGAAUAAGAAAUGAGCAAAGAAGAAGACUGUUACACUCACGAGUGGACAGCUGAUGAUUGGAAGAAAGAUUGGCAAGGUGGAAAACCACGCUGGUCGAUGGCCGAUAUAUACUGGCCCCUUGAAAAGCACAUCGAUCGGCUAACUCGUGGCCAACCAAGCACAUUUUUUGUACCAUGUUGUGGAGAUAUGGUGGAUAUGAAGUGGUUACUAGAUCGUGGUCACACUGUCAUUGGAGCUGAACUUAUCGCAACAGCAGCCAGUUCAUUUUUUCAAACCUACAAUAUCGAGCAUGAUGUGACGGAUGUGAAAGAUUAUGGAAAGUUAUACAAAUCCAAAGAUGGUAAAAUGAAAAUGUAUAUCGGGGAUGUUAUGAAGUUCAGCAGUGAUUAUUGCGAAGGUGGUGUCGAUGUUAUUUAUGACGUUGGCGCAAUGCAAGCCAUUAAUACUAGUGAACGAGUAGCUUAUGUGGACAUGGAAAAUAAUGUUUUGAAAUCUGGUGGAAUUUUAUUUGUAAAUCUUAUGGGUGAUCAAGCCAAUACCCCUCGCACGAGUUCCUAAACAAAUUUUGUAAAUACUAAAGUGUUGUCAUACGUGCUUUAGAAGAGCCAGAUGAAAGUGAAAUUGUUCCACCAGUCUUUCAAGCUGCUUAUGAUAAAAUAGUCACGCUGUUUGAAGUGGAGAGAGUCGAACAAUACAAAAUGGAGGACAUGUACUCUAUAUGUAACUUUUACUUG